rnacentral:rRNA from 1 species
AGUGAACGCUGGCGGUAGGCCUAACACAUGCAAGUCGAACGGCAGCACAAUAAGAGCUUGCUCUUACGGGUGGCGAGUGGCGGACGGGUGAGGAAUACAUCGGAAUCUACUUUUUCGUGGGGGAUAACGUAGGGAAACUUACGCUAAUACCGCAUACGACCUACGGGUGAAAGCAGGGGAUCUUCGGACCUUGCGCGAUUGAAUGAGCCGAUGUCGGAUUAGCUAGUUGGCGGGGUAAAGGCCCACCAGGGCGACGAUCCGUAGCUGGUCUGAGAGGAUGAUCAGCCACACUGGAACUGAGACACGGUCCAGACUCCUACGGGAGGCAGCAGUGGGGAAUAUUGGACAAUGGGCGCAAGCCUGAUCCAGCCAUACCGCGUGGGUGAAGAAGGCCUUCGGGUUGUAAAGCCCUUUUGUUGGGAAAGAAAAGCAGCAGGUUAAUACCCCGCUGUUCUGACGGUACCCAAAGAAUAAGCACCGGCUAACUUCGU